UCACCGGGUAUACAUUCAUCAA
rnacentral:miRNA from 2 species